AUAUGAUUAAAAAUUGUAUUUUAUUUUCCAUGAAAGACAUACAUAGUCUACUUUUCUUGAAAACACUGCAUGGUGCUAAAGUAUAUGUAAUUAAGUGUCGAACUGAAGUAAAAUGACUGCUUAGCCCCCAAAAUACAAGAACUUGUGAAUUAAUGUUUUUACUUCUAACAAUUGUAUAUCACUGGCAGUUUUUGACUUUAAAAUAGUUUCUCCUGUUCGACUGUUUGAGGCAAAAUACAUAGCAAUACGAACAACACAAUGGCUUCAACUGGCAACAUAGACUGGUUUAAUGAAAAUGUUUGGACAAAACUUAGCUAAAUGGGACAAGAAAAUAUGAAAAACAUAUUUUGAACAUAACAUAUAUGGCGUUGGAAUCAGUUUUUGCAUGUUGCUUGGAGAAACUUUGUUAUUCGUAUUACUUUACCCUCAUCGAGCAGUCAGAAAUCCUAACUUCUAAGGCGUAAAAAAACCCUGUGGUUCCGGUUUCAUAUCGCG
rnacentral:lncRNA from 1 species